rnacentral:rRNA from 1 species
GACGAACGCUGGCGGCGUGCCUAAUACAUGCAAGUCGAACGAGUUGCGAACGGGUGAGUAACGCGUGGUAACCUGCCUCAUAGCGGGGGAUAACUAUUGGAAACGAGAGCUAAUACCGCAUACUGUGAGAUGGACCUUAGUUUAAUGAGCUAGUUGGUGCGGUAAAGGCUCACCAAGGCGCCGAUACAUAGCCGACCUGAGAGGGUGAUCGGCCACACUGGAACUGAGACACGGCCCAGACUCCUACGGGAGGCAGCAGUGGGGAAUAUUGCACAAGGGGCGCAAGCCUGAUGCAGCCAUGCCGCGUGUAUGAAGAAGGCCUUCGGGUUGGAAAGUACUUUCAGCGGGGAGGCGUUACCCGCAGAAGAAGCACCGGCUAACUCCGUGCCAGCCGCCGCGGUAAUUC